rnacentral:rRNA from 1 species
AUGAACGCUGGCGGCGUGCCUAAUACAUGCAAGUCGAGCGAACGGACGAGAAGCUUGCUUUUCUGAUGUUAGCGGCGGACGGGUGAGUAACACGUGGAUAACCUACCUAUAAGACUGGGAUAACUUCGGGGAACCGGAGCUAAUACCGGAUAAUAUUUUGAACCGCAUGGUUCAAAAGUGAAAGACGGUCUUGCUGUCACUUAUAGAUGGAUCCGCGCUGCAUUAGCUAGUUGGUAAGGUAACGGCUUACCAAGGCAACGAUGCAUAGCCGACCUGAGAGGGUGAUCGGCCACACUGGAACUGAGACACGGUCCAGACUCCUACGGGAGGCAGCAGUAGGGAAUCUUCCGCAAUGGGCGAAAGCCUGACGGAGCAACGCCGCGUGAGUGAUGAAGGUCUUCGGAUCGUAAAUCUCUGUUAUUAGGGAAGAACAUAUGUGUAAGUAACUGUGCACAUCUUGACGGUACCUAAUCAGAAAGCCACGGCUAACUACGUG